rnacentral:rRNA from 1 species
AGUGAACGCUGGCGGCAGGCCUAAUACAUGCAAGUCGAACGGCAGCACAGUGGAGCUUGCUCCAUGGGUGGCGAGUGGCGGACGGGUGAGGAAUACAUGGGAAUCUGCCCAGUCGUGGGGAUAACGUAUGGAAACGUACGCUAAUACCGCAUGCGCCCUUCGGGGGAAAGUCGGGGGACCGCAAGGCCUGACGCGAUUGGAUGAGCCCAUGUUCGAUUAGCUAGUUGGCGGGUAACGGCCCACCAAGGCGACGAUCGAUAGCUGGUCUGAGAGGAUGAUCAGCCACACUGGAACUGAGACACGGUCCAGACUCCUACGGGAGGCAGCAGUAGGGAAUAUUGGACAAUGGGCGCAAGCCUGAUCCAGCCAUGCCGCGUGAGUGAAGAAGGCCUCGGGUUGUAAAGCUCUUUGUUGGGAGAAAGCAGUUGGUUAAUACCCGAUUGUUCUGACGGUACCCAAGAAUAAGCACCGGCUAACUUCGUGCCAGCAGCCG